rnacentral:lncRNA from 10 species
UCCUCGAGGGUAGAGCCUAUUUUUUUUAUUUUUGUCUAUGACUCUGUAGGUCUCUGCAAGGAACAGGUAUUCAAUAAAUGUUUUUGAAAGAUUGACGUGCUUUCAUUAUUAGAGCUGUGGAUUGAUAACAUUAGCUGGGCAUGGUGGCAUGUACCUGUAGUCCCGGCUACGUGGGAAGCUGAGGCGGGAGGAUCACUUGAGCCAAGGAGUUCAAGGUUGCAGUGAGCUAUGAUAGCACCACUGCACUGCAGCCUGGGUGAGACCCUGUCUCUUAAAAAAAUAUAUAAAUUAAAUAAAAUUUGGGUUGUCUGUUUUGGAAAAGCAAAUGAAAAUGCAGUUAGUGCUCAGUUACCAUGUGAGGAUUUCCCACAAAAUGCUUGUAUCCCAUUUGGCAUUUUCUAACCACCUUGUUAACUUCAACAUCUACCAAGCACACUAACCCAACUUUUUGUUGGUUUGUGCUCAGAGAAUGCAGACUGAUUUUAAUAUUAAC